CACCUUUCCAGGUGGUCCUGCCACUGAGAACCCAAGUGAUCUCAGGCUUCUGUGGGGUUCAGAACCAGUCCUCGGGAAAAUCCACACCUUUGACCCACUUGAGCCACUUCCUGCUGUUGCUCGCAGUAAUCCAUUUCUAUGAAGGCUGAGCAGCCACUAUCUGAAAUUUGUAAACUGUUGGAGGCCUGGGUGUGUCCAGGAGACUCAGGGCAAACUUCCAGGUGGUUCCCCCACAUCGCUCUGACUUUUCUGUAGGUAAGGAGCCGCCAGCAAGGAGAGCCUGGUUGAGGAUGAGGCCAAGACGUAACGUGGCAGGGUGACGAUAAGGAGAGAAAUAGAUUUCUAAUGACAUUGUUUGAGCAUCUCACAUCCAAAUUCAGACCCACUCAUGAAUCUCCUUUUGUUCUUUUAAACCCGUUCACCUUAUUUUUUUUUCUUCCCUUGCAAUCAAGAGACCUGACUGAUACAGAAGGAGGAGCAACUGUCUCCCAGGAGGGGAAAGGAUUAAGCAUUUAAUCUGAGACAUGCCCAAUCUUAAAUGUCUCCUUAGCAUAACUCACAGCAAGAAUUUCAUCAAUUCAUUCAUUCAGCGAGUAUUUCUGGGCUUCCCUGGUGGCUCAAGUGGUAAAGAAUUCACCUGCCAAUGCAGGAGACAUGGUUCGAUCCCUGGUUAGGAAGAUCCCACAUGCCAUGGAGCAACUGAGCCCGUGUGCCACAACUACUGAACCUGUGUUCCAGAACCCGGGAGCCGCUACUACUGAGCCUGUGGCCAGAACUGUUGAAGUCCAUGCACCCCACAGCCAAUGCUCUGCAACGAGAAGCCACCACAAUGAGAAGCCCACACAGGUCUGGUGGUAUCGCUCUGUGACUUGGGUACAAUUUUAUUUGAAGAUCACAUGUAAAAGCUGAUGCUAGGACCUGCAACAGAGAGACUGCUGUCCUCCCUUCCUCCUGACUGAGCGAACUCCCACUUUGUUCCAGCACAGAGCAGAUGGCAGUGAGCUCAAGGGAGAGAUGCUCCGUCCCCAGUCCCAGGAGGACAACUGUUAUUGAUGUAAAUCAUUCCCCUUUGCCAGUGAUUGGUUUCCAGGUGGACUGAUGCCCUGACUCCGGCCAAUGAGAAGUUAAUUGGAUAUGUGCUCUUUGCCGUGGAGGCCUGCAGACCACGCCAAGCACAACAGGCCCAGCACGAAGUGGGCCUGGGAGGCCCGGCCCACCUCGGCAGCCUGGGGCCCGCUCAGGCAGGGGCAGGGGAUGUCUCUAGGGGACCAGGGAUGUGAGCUCACCUCUCAUGGGCAGCAGCCAACUGGGGUGGGAGGCAGGAGGGAGGAGGGCGUCUUAUCU
ensembl:lncRNA